UGGGCGUAAGCGCGCGCAGGUGGUUUCUUAAGUCUGAUGUGAAAGCCCACGGCUCAACCGUGGAGGGUCAUUGGAAACUGGGAGACUUGAGUGCCCAAGAGGAAAGUGGAAUUCCAUGUGUAGCGGUGAAAUGCGUAGAGAUAUGGAGGAACACCAGUGGCGAAGGCGACUUCCUGGUCUGUAACUGACACUGAGGCGCGAAAGCGUGGGGAGCAAACAGGAUUAGAUACCCUGGUAGUCCACGCCGUACGCGAUGAGUGCUAAGUGUUAGAGGGUUUCCGCCCUUUAGUGCU
rnacentral:rRNA from 1 species